CCAUGCCUCCCCUGGGCUGCAAUGUUCCCGGAGCCCCACGGGAGUGGCUAGGCAGGCCGCUGCCCCUCCCGGGGCCUGCGAUGGACCCAGACUCUUCGGGUGACAUCUGGUGCUGCCCACCCCACCCCCUCUCCCUGGCCCGAUGGACUGGUACCUUGUGGGCAGUGUCUGGGCCAGCCUUCCUCGCCCAGAUGGACCUGAACCCCCAGGAGCUGGCCAUGGCGAUGCCCGCCCCGCCAUGUAUGCAAAUUAACCUCCAUCUUUGUUUGGUUAAUUUGCAUACUCACUCUGAUUGGCUGUGGGCAUAGUGAAGAAAAUUUCUCCAAACCUGUGUGGAUUCCUGCAAGAAAUAUUAAACUGCAACAUGGGUCCGAGAGAGGAACUAGCCAGAUUAAUGAGGACCUUGCACCUGGUGCCACACCUUGCAGCUGUAGACAAUCGGCUACCCCAGCCACAUACAGCAGCAGCCCAGGCAACACACUGAAGAUAAGGAGUGGGAGAUAAACACGGCAAAUGAUAAACAGCCCAGAGAUGACUUGGGGAGUGAUAAAGAAAAUGGUCCAGAAAGCUGAAUGAAUUUGUGAAGAGACCAAAACCCCAAGAAUGCCUGAGAAUGUCUUUCUUGCCAUUCUGGCAGUCACCAGCUGUGCGUCUGCAGAAGCGGAAUAAAAAUCCUAAAAGAAUCCAAGCUCUGCAAGCGGCAUAUCAACAUCUAUUAAGAAAUUAAAGAAGGGGGAAAUGCCGGAAGCCAAGAUCAACAGUAAUUAAUAUAAAUGUGAGAAAUCCGGUCAGAAGACCGAAUGGGGCUUUUUGAUAUUUGCAGGGCUAAAUAUCUGCAUUUUAUUACAUACUACUGAUGACUCAAUGGCCUAAAGCAAUCGCCCCCAACCUGAUAAUCUUACUGUUUACCAAACAUCACCAUUGAUAUGUCUGUCUGUUUGCAUUCCUAAAAGGCAAUUGUGUAUUCUAGUAAAUAAAAGCAGAUGGGAAUGAGACUCAGUGGAACUUGGUCCCUUGUACCAAGCUCACAACUGGCUUCCCCCAUUUAGUUUUUCA